rnacentral:rRNA from 1 species
ACAGCAGCCGCCGCGGGAAUACGUAGGUGGCAAGCGUUGUCCGGAAUUAUUGGGCGUAAAGGGCUCGCAGGCGGUUUCUUAAGUCUGAUGUGAAAGCCCCCGGCUCAACCGGGGAGGGUCAUAGGAAACUGGGAAACUUGAGUGCAGAAGAGGAGAGUGGAAUUCCACGUGUAGCGGUGAAAUGCGCAGAGAUGUGGAGGAACACCAGUGGCGAAGGCGACUCUCUGGUCUGUAACUGACGCUGAGGAGCGAAAGCGUGGGGAGCGAACAGGAUUAGAUACCCCAGUAGUCCCUGUCUCUUAUAC